UCUUCUUCCUACGGGAGCAGCAGUGGGGAAUAUUGCACAAWGGGCGCAAGCCUGAUGCAGCGACGCCGCGUGAGGGAUGACGGCCUUCGGGUUGUAAACCUCUUUCAGUAGGGAAGAAGCGAAAGUGACGGUACCUGCAGAAGAAGCGCCGGCUAACUACGUGCCAGCAGCCGCGGUAAUACGUAGGGCGCAAGCGUUGUCCGGAAUUAUUGGGCGUAAAGAGCUCGUAGGCGGUUUGUCGCGUCUGCUGUGAAAGCCCGGGGCUCAACCCCGGGUCUGCAGUGGGUACGGGCAGACUAGAGUGCAGUAGGGGAGACUGGAAUUCCUGGUGUAGCGGUGAAAUGCGCAGAUAUCAGGAGGAACACCGAUGGCGAAGGCAGGUCUCUGGGCUGUUACUGACGCUGAGGAGCGAAAGCAUGGGGAGCGAACAGGAUUAGAUACCCUGGUAGUCCAUGCCGUAAACGUUGGGCACUAGGUGUGGGGGACAUUCCACGUUCUCCGCGCCGUAGCUAACGCAUUAAGUGCCCCGCCUGGGGAGUACGGCCGCAAGGCUAAAACUCAAAGGAAAUUGACGG
rnacentral:rRNA from 1 species